AACGAACGCUGGCGGCAGGCUUAACACAUGCAAGUCGAACGGGUGUAGCAAUACAUCAGUGGCAGACGGGUGAGUAACACGUGGGAACCUUCCUAGGGGUACGGAACAACUCAGGGAAACUUGAGCUAAUACCGUAUACGUCCGUGAGGAGAAAGAUUUAUCGCCCUUAGACGGGCCCGCGUCGGAUUAGCUAGUUGGUGGGGUAACGGCCUACCAAGGCGACGAUCCGUAGCUGAUCUUAGAGGAUGAUCAGCCACACUGGGACUGAGACACGGCCCAGACUCCUACGGGAGGCAGCAGUGGGGAAUCUUGGACAAUGGGCGCAAGCCUGAUCCAGCCAUGCCGCGUGAGUGAAGAAGGCCUUAGGGUUGUAAAGCUCUUUUACCAGGGACGAUAAUGACGGUACCUGGAGAAUAAGCCCCGGCAAACUUCGUGCCAGCCGCCGCGGUAACAC
rnacentral:rRNA from 1 species